AAGCCUAUAUAAGACUCUUAUUCUUCAUUCAUCUCUCCAUUAUUUGGAUUUCUCCUUAACCUACACUGCUUCUUCAAUCAUCUCCUGCGUUUUGUAUUUUUUGAGCCUUUCUACAUGGCUUCAAGAUCUCAUUUUGUGGUUCUUCAUGAUUAUACAAGGAUUAUGGUGUCAUUAGACCUAUAGACGCUGAAAAUAACAAUUUCACGGAUAUGGAUCAAGGGUAUAUUAUUAUUAUUGAUCCCGUUAGUGUUCCGCAAAUUAAUGGAAAUUAGAGGCGGUGACAUAGUUUGUUUUAGGUUUGAAAGAAUAGCAAAUAGAAUUAUUGAAGUUAAGGUGGUGUAUGAAAAUAUUUAGUUAGUUGUUAUUCAUUCCAAAAUUUAAUCAGUUGUUGUUUUGUCUUGGGUAUCUUUUCGUGGUUUUGUUUUACUCAAUCUACAUGAGAGGAUUGUUCUCAUGAUUUACUUUAUUUAUCAAAUAAAAUCCAAGAAUAAUUGUUAUUUUUUUCA